CCGAGGAGUAUGGUCAAACCGAUGUGCAUAAUAUAAGUAGUAAUACAUGUACACAGUAAGACGAUUCCAUUCCGCUGAUACAAAUGUACAAAGUAUUCAACAACCAAAACGAAAAAAUAAACCCUAAUUUCAGGUUCUACUAGUAAGCCGAUGUCUGGAGAUAGCACUGAUGGCACCGAUAGCACUGAUAGCAUCAACAAUACCAAAGGUUCCACUGUUAAUUGGGGGACUGGAGAUAGCACUGAUAGCUUCAACAAUACCAAAGGGUCUACCAGCAAGCCGACGUCUGGUGGUCCAAACAACAGCACCAAAAAUAACAACAACGCCGGCAGCAUUAACAAUCACGCAGUGUCAAGGUUCCGGAUGUUUGUCUGUGCAUUGGUAGUUGUGUUAUUGUCCCAGAUUUAACAUACAGAAUUAUAGGUGUAUCCACUGAAC